rnacentral:rRNA from 1 species
AUACGGAGGGGGCUAGCGUUGUUCGGAAUCACUGGGCGUAAAGAGUACGUAGGGGGCCUACUAAGUCAGAUGGGAAAGCCCAGGGCUCAACCUUGGAACUGCAUUUGAAACUGGUAGGCUAGAGUAUGGUAGAGGGAAGUGGAAUUCCAGGUGUAGCGGUGGAAUGCGUAGAUAUCAGGAAGAACACCUGUGGCGACGGCGGCUAGCUGGGCCAACACUGACGCUGAACUGCGAAAGCGUGGGGAGCAAACAGGAUUAGAAACCCCGGUAGUCC